CGAACGCUGGCGGCGUGCUUAACACAUGCAAGUCGAGCGAUGAAGUUUCUUCGGAAAUGGAUUAGCGGCGAACGGGUGAGGAACACGUGAAGAAUCUGCCCUCCACUUUGGGAUAACACCGGGAAACCGGUGCUAAUACCGAAUAUUGAAACAUAAGUGGCAUCACUGAGUUUUGAAAGAAUUUUGGUGGAGGAUGACUUCGCGGCCUAUCAGCUAGUUGGUGAGGUAAUGGCUCACCAAGGCAACGACGGGUAGCCGGCCUGAGAGGGCGACCGGCCACACUGGGACUGAGACACGGCCCAGACUCCUACGGGAGGCAGCAGUAGGGAAUCUUCCGCAAUGGACGCAAGUCUGACGGAGCAACGCCGCGUGAGUGAAGAAGGUUUUCGGAUUGUAAAACUCUGUUGCCAGGGACGAAAGACUAGAAGAGGAAAUGCUUUUAGCGUGACGGUACCUGAGAAGAAAGCCCCGGCUAACUUCGCGCCAGCAGCCGCGGUAAU
rnacentral:rRNA from 1 species